GUGACCUCAAAUCAGGUAGGAUUACCCGCUGAACUUAAGCAUAUCAAUAAGCGGAGGAAAAGAAACUAACAAGGAUUCCCCUAGUAACUGCGAGUGAAGCGGGAAAAGCUCAAAUUUAAAAUCUGGCAGUCUUUGGCUGUCCGAGUUGUAAUCUAGAGAAGUGCUAUCCGCGCUGGACCGUGUACAAGUCUCCUGGAAUGGAGCGUCAUAGAGGGUGAGAAUCCCGUCUUUGACACGGACUGCCAGGGCUUUGUGAUGCGCUCUCAAAGAGUCGAGUUGUUUGGGAAUGCAGCUCAAAAUGGGUGGUAAAUUCCAUCUAAAGCUAAAUAUUGGCGAGAGACCGAUAGCGAACAAGUACCGUGAGGGAAAGAUGAAAAGAACUUUGGAAAGAGAGUUAAACAGUACGUGAAAUUGCUGAAAGGGAAACGCUUGAAGUCAGUCGCGUCGUCCAGGGAUCAACCUCGCUGUUGCUUGGUGCACUUUCUGGUUGACGGGUCAGCAUCAAUUUUGACCAUUGGAAAAAGAUUAGGGGAAUGUGGCAUCUUAGGAUGUGUUAUAGCCCUUGGUUGCAUGCAAUGGUUGGGAUUGAGGAACUCAGCACGCCGCAAGGCCGGGUUUUCAACCACGUACGUGCUUAGGAUGCUGGCAUAAUGGCUUUAAUCGACCC
rnacentral:rRNA from 1 species